UGUUCCUACGGGACGCAGCAGUGAGGAAUAUUGGUCAAUGGGCGGGAGCCUGAACCAGCCAAGCCGCGUGAGGGAAGAAGGUACAGCGUAUCGUAAACCUCUUUUGUCAGGGAACAAAGGCGGGGACUAGUCCCCGGAUGAGGGUACCUGAAGAAAAAGCAUCGGCUAACUCCGUGCCAGCAGCCGCGGUAAUACGUAGGGGGCAAGCGUUAUCCGGAAUUACUGGGUGUAAAGGGAGCGUAGACGGUUAAGUAAGUCUGGAGUGAAAGGCCGGGGCCCAACCCCGGGGCGGCUCUGGAAACUAU
rnacentral:rRNA from 1 species